GGUUGCGAUCAUACCAGCACUAAUGCACCGGAUCCCAUCAGAAUUUCGUUGUUAAGCGUGCUUGGGCGAGAGUAGUACUAGGAUGGGUGACCCCCUGGGAAGUCCUCGUGUUGCAACCCC
rnacentral:rRNA from 1 species